UCUUGACUCCAUUGCCGGAUUUGUAUUAGACUGGCAGGGUCGCCCCGAAGCGGGCGGAAACAAGCAAGCGUGUUGUUUGAGAACUCAAUAGUGUGUUUGGUGGUUUCACAUUUUUGUUGUUAUU
rnacentral:sRNA from 1 species